GACUAACAUCAGCCUCAAAAUUGAUAGAAGCUCCUGUUGUUGGUAAUGUGUGUAGACUGGGGCAGGAUCAGCUCUCUGAUACCUGAGAGAAAGAAAGAGAACAGAGCUUUGGGAAGUCGGGACUGUCGGACAGUUAAUGGUGGAUCUCUAGCAGUGGGUCUCUUGCUGCUUCUGAACCACUUCAACAGAUGCUGUCUUCUGGGUGUGGAAGGAAGAGCUAUGGAGAUGCUGGAAGCAAUUUGAGGAAUGCCCAACCAGAGGAGGGUUUUGGUCUUGGGUGAAGCCCACCAAGACCUGCGUGACUUCAAAUAUCCUUUGGGCUGUGCAGUGCUGUUCAGUUGCUGAGCAGUGGAAGUGUAUCUGUAUGGGGAGAUGAAGCCAAACUGUAUUAAUUAAAUGGCUUUGAACAGUUCCAACUGACAAUUGAAGUGGACUGCAUUUAAAUAAGAUCAGUUCAUCUUCACUUUCUGCUCACUCGUGCUGAUGAGAAGCACUUGUGAGAGCAAUUUUGAAUGGUUUUCUCUCAACACAAGAAGAAUAUUGAGUGGGAGGAUUAUAUGAGAGACACGUAAGGCCUUGGCUUUCCCAGAGCUGUACAAAGCAAACUCCACACUGUCAACUCAACUGCACUUACAGCUGUGCAGGACAUGCUUAAAAUCUGGAACAGGUUUCUCAGGGCCAAUCUACUCAAGCUUUGAAAUACUCCACAGAUGGAGAUUGCACCCCAUCCCUGAGUGCCUGGGAUUAAAACAUCCACGCUAAGUGUGAGGAGUACCAAACAGAGGACGUGUCCUAUGGUUAUUCUCCAAAAAAUGGGGGACAUCCCUUCUUUCUCCGGCCCCAGAGGCAAACAAUGCACUGCUCCUUCCAGCUCGCUCUGAUGAUGGGUCUCACAGACAUCCAACCAGGCACCAUCUCAGCAGCUCUGCAGCUCCAUGGAGCCAAGAGCCAGGCUUUGGGAAGAAGCUUGUAAACCUGCUGCAGAUGGCUCUGGAGGAGAAAGCACUUUCUCUUUGGGCAGGACUUGUUAAGACCCACAUGCAGAAUAUGAGCUUCAGCCGACCCUCCCUGGUGAGUACUGAAACUUCAGGGGCUGAACAUUUUCUCCCUG
rnacentral:lncRNA from 1 species